rfam:Strongyloides papillosus strain LIN genome assembly, scaffold: SPAL_contig0001760
UCUCUGGUAGUAUAGUGGUGAGUAUCCGCGCCUGUCACGUGCGAGACCGGGGUUCGAUUCCCCGCCAGAGAG